rnacentral:SRP_RNA from 1 species
GCCCGGCGCGGUGGCGCGUGCCUGUAGUCCCAGCUACUCGGGAGGCUGAGGUGGGAGGAUCGCUUGAGCCCAAGUUCUGGGCUGUAGUGUGCUAUGCCAAUCGGGUGUCCGCACUAAGUUCGGCAUCAAUAUGGUGACCUCCCGGGAGCGGGGGACCACCAGGUUGCCUAAGGAGGGGUGAACCGGCCCAGGUUGGAAACAGAGCAGGUCAAAACUCCCAUGCUGAUCCACAGUGGGAUCACGCCUGUGAAUAGCCACUGCACUCCAGCCUGGGCAACACAGCAAGACCCUGUCUCU